rnacentral:lncRNA from 1 species
CUCGCGUGUGUUCUUCUUGAGUUCCUCGUAAGUCGCAAAGAACACGUUCGGCUCUUCCCUGAGAGCGUAUCCCGCGCCUACGUGUUCGAAAUAGUCGCCGUAGCCGAAGUUGCCACUUACAAAAGUGUCGACUAGGUCUUCAAAUGUUCCGUCUUGGAAUUCGAAGGAGCUAACGUUGAUCGCCAUGUUGUAGAAGGAGACGCAGACAUCCCAUGGAUUGCGGGCGAGGUAGACGUACUUUCCUUCUCCGCUCAUUACACGCUUGUCCAACGGCAGGUGUGUAGCGAAUGUUCUCAGUGGUAGAGACGAGGUCCAGUCCUUGAUGUCCAUGUACUCCAGGAAGCGCCAUUCUUUGGAGAACUCCUCGUACGAGGUGAUCGGUUGUCCCUCCCUGAGUAUGAGGUGCGUGAUGUACAUCAACCAAUGCGUUCCACUCUUCGGGAACGUUGACUGCACGAC